rnacentral:misc_RNA from 1 species
UACGGAGGGUGCGAGCGUUAAUCGGAAUUACUGGGCGUAAAGCGAGCGUAGGCGGCCAGAUUAGCUGGAUGUGAAAGCCCCGGGCUUAACCUGGGAACUGCAUUCAGAACUGUCUGGCUAGAGUAUGGUAGAGGGUAGUGGAAUUUCCUGUGUAGCGGUGAAAUGCGUAGAUAUAGGAAGGAACACCAGUGGCGAAGGCGGCUACCUGGACCAAUACUGACGCUGAGGUUCGAAAGCGUGGGGAGCAAACAGG